rnacentral:rRNA from 1 species
UAAGGAAUAUUGGACAAUGGGCGCAAGCCUGAUCCAGCCAUGCCGCGUGCAGGAUGAAGGUGUUAUGCACUGUAAACUGCUUUUACUCGGGAAAAAACCCCUGCAUUCUUGCGGGGCUGAUUGUACUGAGAGAAUAAGGGACGGCUAACUUCGUGCCAGCAGCCGCGGUAAUACGAAGGUCCCAAGCGUUAUCCGGAUUUAUUGGGUUUAAAGGGUGCGUAGGCGGGCUAUUAAGUCAGUGGUGAAAUCUCCAUGCCUAACAUGGAAACUGCCAUUGAUACUGAUGGUCUUGAGUACAUUUGAAGUGGGCGGAAUGUGUCAUGUAGUGGUGAAAUACUUAGAUAUGACACAGAACACCGAUUGCGUAGGCAGCUCACUAAACUGUAACUGACGCUGAGGCACGAAAGCGUGGGGAGCAAACAGG